rnacentral:rRNA from 1 species
AUUGAACGCUGGCGGCAGGCCUAACACAUGCAAGUCGAACGAGCGGCGGACGGGUGAGUAAUGUCUGGGAAACUGCCCGAUGGAGGGGGAUAACUACUGGAAACGGUAGCUAAUACCGCAUACUAUAGGAUGAGCCCAUGUGGGAUUAGCUAGUUGGUGGGGUAAAGGCUCACCAAGCCGACGAUCUCUAGCUGGUCUGAGAGGAUGACCAGCCACACUGGGACUGAGACACGGCCCAGACUCCUACGGGAGGCAGCAGUGGGGAAUAUUGCGCAAUGGGGGCAAGCCUGAUGCAGCCAUGCCGCGUGAAUGAAGAAGGCCUUCGGGUUGUAAAGUUCUUUCGGUAGCGAGGCGUUAACUACAGAAGAAGAACCGGCUAACUCCGUGCCAGCAGCCGCGGUAAUUC